UCCAAAUAUCUUCUGUAAAGUGCGAAGAGGGGGGAAGUCCCAAGUGAAAAACAUGGUGGCUUUCAGCACACUAUCCCAUAAUCCCAUCCCACCCAACAAAUCCCCAUUUUAAUCUCCUUUUGAUUCUCUCACUAUUCAAUAUAACUACAUGAACAAUUAUAAUACUAACAAUAAUUAGUAUAGGAAACAAUCCCAAAUGGCCAAGUAAGUAUGGCAGGCCCAACCUCCCCAUGUUACAAAUCCCCCUUUACCUGUCCCCACUCUCUCUCCUUUUAUAAAAUCCCCAAGCCCUGCCUUCCCCUCUCCUUCACUCCCAUACCACCUCCUUCAUUGAUCUCUUCUCCUGUACACAUAUUUGAGCCAUCUAGUCUUUUUCCUCCUUCUGUUCAUUGCUAGAAAACCCAUCACAUUUAGACUUACAUAUUCAACACACAAGAAUAUACACAGAGCCUAAGAAAUUAUGUGCAGCUCUAAGGCCAAGGUGACCAUAGGGGUUGAAGUCACACCCAUGGUUGCUAGAAUCAAUGGCAGACCUGUCCUUCAGCCUACCUGCAAUCGGGUUCCUAGCCUCGACAGGAGGAAUUCGAUUAAGAAAAUAUCAACACCACCUCCCCCUCCACCAUUGCCAACUUCUUCUGCUAGUAGUACUAGUCCUAGAAUUUCCAACAAGGCUUCAUCAUUGUUAACACCUCCAAUUUCUCCGAAGUCAAAGUCUCCAAGGCCACCAGCAAUAAAGAGAGGAAAUGAUCCUAAUGGGUUGAACUCAAGUUCUGAGAAAGUUGUGACCCCAGGAGGUACCACAAGAGCUAAGAUUUUGGAAAGGAAGAAGUCCAAGAGCUUUAAGCGUGCUAGUGUUGGUGUUGAUGGUGCUUCUGCUGAUCUUCAUCAUCAUGGAGAUUUUAGUGCUGGUGGAUUUUCUUCUUCUUUGAAUAUCGAGGCAUCAUUGAGUUAUUCGUCUUCUUUGAUCACUGAGGCGCCGGGAAGCAUUGCUGCUGUGAGGAGGGAGCAGAUGGCCCUUCAACAUGCACAAAGGAAGAUGAGGAUUGCCCAUUAUGGAAGAUCAAAGUCAGCCAACUUUGAAAGGGUUGUUCCUGUUGAUGCUUCUGGUAAUAUAGAAGCCAAGGGAGCUGAAGAAGAGAAAAGGUGCAGCUUUAUCACAGCUAAUUCAGAUCCCAUCUAUGUUGCUUACCAUGAGUUCCAGUUCAUGAUGACAAGAUGUUGUUUGAACUGCUUGUUCUGAGUGGAGCUCAAGUUGGCUCAGAUUGGACUUCCAUUUUAAAGAAACGCCAAGAUUUCAGGAAUGCAUUUUCAGAUUUUGAUGCAGAAAUUGUGGCCAAUUUCACUGACAAGCAGAUGGUGUCAAUUGGUUCAGAAUAUGGCAUUGAUAUAAGCAGGGUCCGAGGAGUUGUGGACAACUCUAACCGAAUUCGUGAGAUUAAGAAGGAAUUUGGAUCAUUUGACAAGUACAUCUGGGGGUUUGUCAAUCAGAAACCCAUCUCACCUCAGUACAAAUUAGGCUACAAAAUCCCAGUUAAGACAUCAAAAUCAGAGUCCAUCAGCAAGGACAUGGUUAGGAGGGGAUUUAGGUUUGUGGGUCCAACAGUUGUUCAUUCUUUCAUGCAAGCCUCAGGCCUCACAAACGACCAUUUGAUCACUUGCCACAGGCACCUCCAGUGUACCUUGUUGGCAGCUCGCCGUCCCACAUUGGAAGAAGUUCUAUAGGAUCAUUGACAUCAAAGAGGAAAAAAUUAAUGACCCAAAAGUGUUUAGGGCUCAAUAUGCUAGAGAAGUGAGUGCAUAGUUUGCUAACUAUAUAAAAAAGCAAAAAAAGAAGAAGUUACUUUUGAUGGUUGUGACUUGUGUGUAUAAUAUAAAUAGAGAAAAUGAUUGUGAUUAGUUGUGAGAUUUAAUUUAGGGAUCGAGAAUGCUUCAACGAUUAAAAUUCGUGUGAACGACUGAUAUGAUAGUAUUCUUAGUUAAAAAGUUUGAAAUAGACCGACGAGUGGUGUUGCAGAGGGAGCUUUAAAGGAGACAGGCAUCAUGUGCAUAUGCAAUAAGGAGGCAGGGCAUGUGUGGAUGUGUCAGUGUUGCUUUUUAUUCCAUGUGACCCAUCAAACUCUGCAUUAUUUUGAAUUCCUUUAACAGGCUGUGUGGGAUAUUGGAAGAUGGAGUGUAGGACCAGACCACAUAUUAAUUUCUCUUUCUCAAUUGCUUUGUUAAUUGAGUUGUUAGUUAAUCUUCUGUACCUGUAUUUUUCUAACCCUUUUUGGCUUUGGGGGAAUAUUAUACCCCAUUGUUGUGUAUCUUGAAUUUGAUGUGAGAGGUUUUGAGUGUUGUUUGAUUCAAUUUCCAUGUGCUUGCUUCUGUUCUGAUUGCUGACUUUUAUAUAUAAAAUACAUUUUCAAAUGUUAAUCAAAUAA